rnacentral:rRNA from 1 species
GAUGAACGCUGGCGGCGUGCCUAAUACAUGCCAGUCGAGCGAACAGACGAGGAGCUUGCUCCUCUGACGUUAGCGGCGGACGGGUGAGUAACACGUGGAUAACCUACCUAUAAGACUGGGAUAACUUCGGGAAACCGGAGCUAAUACCGGAUAACAUAUUGAACCGCAUGGUUCAACAGUGAAAGACGGUCUUGCUGUCACUUAUAGAUGGAUCCGCGCCGCAUUAGCUAGUUGGUAAGGUAACGGCUUACCAAGGCAACGAUGCGUAGCCGACCUGAGAGGGUGAUCGGCCACACUGGAACUGAGACACGGUCCAGACUCCUACGGGAGGCAGCAGUAGGGAAUCUUCCGCAAUGGGCGAAAGCCUGACGGAGCAACGCCGCGUGAGUGAAGAAGGUCUUCGGAUCGUAAAACUCUGUUAUUAGGGAAGAACAAAUGUGUAAGUAACUAUGCACGUCUUGACGGUACCUAAUCAGAAAGCCACGGCUAACUACGUG